CAUGCAAGUCGAGGGGAAACGACAUCGAAAGCUUGCUUUUGAUGGGCGUCGACCGGCGCACGGGUGAGUAACGCGUAUCCAACCUGCCCAUCACUUGGGGAUAACCUUGCGAAAGUAAGACUAAUACCCAAUGAUAUCUCUAGAAGGCAUCUGAAAGAGAUUAAAGAUUUAUCGGUGAUGGAUGGGGAUGCGUCUGAUUAGCUUGUUGGCGGGGUAACGGCCCACCAAAGCAACGAUCAGUAGGGGUUCUGAGAGGAAGGUCCCCCACAUUGGAACUGAGACACGGUCCAAACUCCUACGGGAGGCAGCAGUGAGGAAUAUUGGUCAAUGGACGAGAGUCUGAACCAGCCAAGUAGCGUGCAGGAUGACGGCCCUAUGGGUUGUAAACUGCUUUUAUAAGGGAAUAAAGUGAGUCUCGUGAGACUUUUUGCAUGUACCUUAUGAAUAAGGACCGGCUAAUUCCGUGCCAGCAGCCGCGGUAAUACGGAAGGUCCGGGCGUUAUCCGGAUUUAUUGGGUUUAAAGGGAGCGUAGGCCGGAGAUUAAGCGUGUUGUGAAAUGUAGAUGCUCAACAUCUGCACUGCAGCGCGAACUGGUUUCCUUGAGUACGCACAAAGUGGGCGGAAUUCGUGGUGUAGCGGUGAAAUGCUUAGAUAUCACGAAGAACUCCGAUUGCGAAGGCAGCUCACUGGAGCGCAACUGACGCUGAAGCUCGAAAGUGCGGGUAUCGAACAGGAUUAGAUACCCUGGUAGUCCGCACGGUAAACGAUGGAUGCCCGCUGUUGGUCUGAAUAGGUCAGCGGCCAAGCGAAAGCAUUAAGCAUCCCACCUGGGGAGUACGCCGGCAAC
rnacentral:rRNA from 1 species